rnacentral:rRNA from 1 species
CGUAAGUAAUCUACCUUUGAGUGGGGAAUAACAGUCGGAAACGACUGCUAAUACCGCAUAAUGCAGCGGCACCGCAAGGUGACAGUUGUUAAAGCAUUUAUGCGCUUAAAGAGGAGCUUGCGGCAGAUUAGCUAGUUGGUAAGGUAAUGGCUUACCAAGGCAACGAUCUGUAUCCGGUCUAAGAGGACGGUCGGACACACUGACACUGAAUAACGGGUCAGACUCCUACGGGAGGCAGCAGUCGGGAAUUUUGGGCAAUGGGCGAAAGCCUGACCCAGCAACGCCGCAUGAAGGAUGAAGUCUUUCGGGAUGUAAACUUCGUAAGAAUAGGAAGAAUAAAUGACGGUACUAUUUGUAAGGUCCGGCUAACUACGUGCCAGCAGCCGCGGUAAUACGUAGGGACCAAGCGUUGUUCGGAUUUACUGGGCGUAAAGGGCGCGUAGGCGGCAAUUCAAGUCAUCUGUGAAAUCUCCGAGCUUAACUCGGAACGGUCAGAUGAUACUGCUUUGCUAGAGUGCAGAAAGGGGCAACCGGAAUUCUUGGUGUAGCGGUGAAAUGCGUAGAUAUC